rnacentral:rRNA from 1 species
UGGGGAAUUUUGGACAAUGGGGGAAACCCUGAUCCAGCCAUCCCGCGUGUGCGAUGAAGGCCUUCGGGUUGUAAAGCACUUUUGGCAGGAAAGAAACGUCGCGGGUUAAUACCCCGCGAAACUGACGGUACCUGCAGAAUAAGCACCGGCUAACUACGUGCCAGCAGCCGCGGUAAUACGUAGGGUGCAAGCGUUAAUCGGAAUUACUGGGCGUAAAGCGUGCGCAGGCGGUUCGGAAAGAAAGAUGUGAAAUCCCAGAGCUUAACUUUGGAACUGCAUUUUUAACUACCGGGCUAGAGUGUGUCAGAGGGAGGUGGAAUUCCGCGUGUAGCAGUGAAAUGCGUAGAUAUGCGGAGGAACACCGAUGGCGAAGGCAGCCUCCUGGGAUAACACUGACGCUCAUGCACGAAAGCGUGGGGAGCAAACAGGAUUAGAUACCCUGGUAGUCCACGCCCUAAACGAUGUCAACUAGCUGUUGGGGCCUUCGGGCCUUGGUAGCGCAGCUAA